UUCAAUAUAUACAGGUUAAGGGUGCGUUCGUAAAUUAACUUUGGCUAUGUACGAUUUCAGAGCACUCUCGUCUGUGUGCAAGAGCGCUGAAUAACGGAUGCAUUUACAAACGUGCAACACGUUGGAUAUGACCAUUGUCAGUAAACGUCGGCAAAAAACGUAAUUAAAUUGUUACCAGCAGCACAGUUACAGUCACCAAACGAUAUGGAUAACAUGAAAACAGCCUAACCAGCUCUGCUAGGGCAAGUAAAAUGGUCAGAGUGAGGUGUUCUCUCAUUUGUGUCUGGAAGCAGCUAGCCAACUAGCCACCGUCAGCCAGUUAGCUGGGUGCUUGACUGCCCUUGUGAAGUCAGAACGCUCGGAUCAACCCUACUCCUCCGUCAGAGAGUCCAAUGUGGCUCUGAACGCUCCGAGAGCGAAACGCUCUGAAUUUACGAACGCCAACAGCGCAAUUUACGAACACACCACCUAGGUUCAUUGCGGAUCCACUUCAUACUCCCCAAUCAGCUCUGGGACGCAACAUAGUGUUAUGUCUUGAGACAUUUUAUUUUGGAAUGUUGAAUAUUUCAAAUUCGCGGAUCAUUCUUCAGUCAACUGACAGAUGAUGCAAGACUCACAAACGACCUGGAGGAUUUACAAACUGUUACAAAAACUGGACAUAGAAUAAAACUAGGGUCCUCACUGGUGUCAAACAUUAAGCCCUCGUGGAUGGUUGGGCUUUCUGCUUCAGAUUAAGCAAUAGAAACUCAGAGAUCCCCAAACAAGAGAUGACAAUCUGGCUGUAAAGACUUGAAGAUAGUUUGGAGCCCUAUAACACAUUUACCAAGUUAUUGUUGCUUCUGCCUCGUCAAUAAAUCUAGAUUACUUUGAUUUGGUGUGCAGGUCAAUUUGUG